AGCGAACGCUGGCGGCAGGCCUAACACAUGCAAGUCGAACGGACCCUUCGGGGUUAGUGGCGGACGGGUGAGUAACACGUGGGAACGUGCCUUUAGGUUCGGAAUAGCUCCUGGAAACGGGUGGUAAUGCCGAAUGUGCCCUUCGGGGAAAGAUUUAUCGCCUUUAGAGCGGCCCGCGUCUGAUUAGCUAGUUGGUGGGGUAAUGGCCCACCAAGGCUACGAUCAGUAGCUGGUCUGAGAGGAUGACCAGCCACAUUGGGACUGAGACACGGCCCAAACUCCUACGGGAGGCAGCAGUGGGGAAUCUUGCGCAAUGGGCGAAAGCCUGACGCAGCCAUGCCGCGUGUAUGAUGAAGGUCUUAGGAUUGUAAAAUACUUUCACCGGUGAAGAUAAUGACUGUAGCCGGAGAAGAAGCCCGGCUAACUCGUG
rnacentral:rRNA from 1 species